ensembl:lncRNA
AUGAAAUCAACAAACACCAUGACAUCACCAACAAACAUGACAUCACCAACAAAGACCACAACGUCAUUAACAAAUACCACGACAUCACCAACAAAGACCACGACACCAUCAACAAAGACCACGACAUCAUCAACAAACACGAUAUCACCAACAAAGACCACGACAUCAUCAACAAAGACCACAACGUCAUUAACAAACACCACGACGUCAUCAACAAAGACCACAACAUUAUCAACAAACAACAUCAUCAAAAUAGACCACGACAUCAUCAACAAAGACCACGACAUUGGCGACAAAGACCACGACAUCACCAACAAAUACGACGACAUCAUCAACAAACACCACGACAUCAUCAUCAAAGACCACGUCAUCAUCAACAAAAACCACAACAUCAUCAACAAAGACCACGACAUCAUCAACAAAGACAACGACAUCAUCAAAGAAGACCACAACAUAAUCAACAAACACCACGACAUCAUCAACAAUUAUGCCCUAUCUGCCCUAAUGCAAACAAAGUGUAAAAUGAGAGUAAAUAUAUGAAAUCUAGACGUUACAUUUAUUGAGGAGCAGAUUGAUCACACGGUUAAAUCUCUCUUGACACAUCUUGAGUCGGAUGAAAACACACAAUUCUUUGAAGGAGAACCAUUAAACAGUAUCAGAGAUUAUCAGAGAUUAUCAAUAAACAACAAUACAAAUACUGUACAAACACUCAUUUCAUUUCAGAGUUGUUUCCACCUAUAUGAUUCGCAAACUCGGGGGUACUCUAUAGGGUGUCAGUAAAGACCAUGAUCAGGAUCAAGAUUAGGUCAUGUUUAAAGUCUGUUCAGAAUUCAUAAUAACGUUGAAGGGAAGUGACUUUUUCCUUUUCCUAAUCAAGAAUGAGUAAUGAGUAAUGUGAUCGGAGUAAUUCGAUUAAUCUAUUACACUCCUCUCCGUCUGUUUCCUCUCUGUCCGUGCUAUCAAAAUAAGAGGCCAAAAAAAGGAACCGUAAUAAGAAGAAAACAACAUCAGUGCUGCUCAUCCUGAUGUUACACUGCUGGAUGUUCUAACAGAACGCUAUGUGAUGUUCUACCAACACACACACACACACACACACACACACACACAGAGCAGAAUGAUGAAAAUGAACCACAAACACCGACUAAAUCAAAUUACCUGGUUCCUUUAUCUCCCAUCCUGACGACAAUGACGAGUCAACAGACGGAGAGAUGAUGAAGGAGGAGGAAGAGGAGGAGGAGGAGGAGGAGGGAUGCUGUCACCGUGGAAACUGAGGGGAGGAUGUCUCUCUCUCUCGCUCAGGAAGUCGUCGUCAUGCCGUCAGAUUCUCCUCAGCAGGAGGAAAAACCUCCAUCUGAGCUCCAACUGAACAAGCGACUGAUUCCAGCACUCUGCCCACCCACCCACCCACCCUUCCUGUCCUCUCGCUCCCUCCCCCGCUCUCUAUUCACACUCAUUAGCAGCAAAGUGUGAUAAAAUAUGAAAACCACCAGAGGGCUGGUUUUAUUCCAGUCGCUGACAUGUCAGCUCGACCGACCUUGAGCAGCAGAAAUAUAAAUAUAUAUGAAUCACAAGUUGGAGACGAGUGGACGUGCUUCACAGAGACGUCUGUACGGAGGCUGAAAGGUGCCUGAUGCUGGUGCUGUGGAGCAGCUCCUAGAUUUUGAAAACUUUGAUUUUGAAAAACCAUAGCAUCUAUCAAAAUAAAAGGGAUAAAUUAAGUGAUGCUAAUUGCUACAGUUACGGAUGUACAAAUCAACAUAUUUCUGUUAAUUACUAAUCAGUAUUUCCUCAUUUCAGAUCAAAGAGGUCAGAUCGAAGGCAGCAGCUUUCUGCCUCCUCAUUAAUGAGUGUGAAACCGCCUGGAGCUUCAUCAUCUUCACCUUAAAAAAAACCCAGACAAACAACUGUUGACAAGCAAAGCUAACAACCCAAUGGUGCCUCCAGUGUCCUCUGCUGUGUGAACACACAAGAUCAGAACCAACAAUGUAAUGCAGGUCAUUAUGGAGAGAUUUGUUAUUAUAGGGUAAAAAACAUCUUUGGGAUUACACAUAUAUUAUUAUAAAUACAUAGCUAUAAUAAUAUGUUUUCUCCUGGAGUGCAUAUAAUUUAAUUAUUUAAUAACUUAUCACAACUGAUCUUUAACCAACUCUCCUCCUAUCUCCACCAUAACAAUCUCCUGGACCCCCACCAGUCAGGCUUCAAGGCCACGCUGUCCUCGUCCUUCUGGACCUCUCUGCUGCAUUUGACACAGUCAACCACCAGAUCCUUAUUUCCUCCCUUCAGGAACUUGGUGUCUCAGGCUCUGCUCUCUCCCUUCUCUCGUCCUACCUCGACGGACGCACCUACCGUGUAACCUGGAGAGGAUCUGUGUCGGAACCUUGUCCUCUUACUACUGGAGUUCCUCAGGGUUCCGUCCUGGGUCCCCUCCUGUUCUCGCUUUACACCAACUCGCUCGCAUGGCUUCUCUUACCACAGCUAUGCUGAUGACACCCAACUAAUUCUCUCCUUCCCUCACUCGGAUCUCUGCCUGUCUGACUGACAUCUCUCAGUGGAUCCGCCCACCAUCUGAAAAUCAACCCCGACAAGACGGAACUACUUCUCUUUCCGGGAAAAACUCUCGGACACAGGACCUGACAGUCAACUUUGGCAACUCCGUGUUGACGCCCACUUUGACUGCAGGAACCUCAGCGUCACACUCGACAGCCGACUCUCCCUGACUCCCAACAUCACCGCGACAACGCGAUCCUGUAGAUACUCGCUCUACAACAUCAGGAGAACACGUCCUUCUCACUCAGAAGGUACUGAUUCAGGCUCUGGUCGUCUCCCUCCUGGACUACUGUAACUCUCUCCUGCAGGUCUCCUGCUACCUCCAUUCCAUCCCUGCAGCUCAUCCAGAAUGCAGCAGCUCCACUGGUCUUUAACCUUCCUAAGUUCUCCCUCACUCCUCCACUCCUCCGCUCUCUUCACUGGUACCGGU